AUGACCUCACAUCGAGGGGGUGUGAUCCAGGGCCAGUUGAUUCCUGGGAAUCAGCAAACACCUUGCCUAGGAGCUCGCCUUUGCCGUGCAGACCAAGCAAGCUCACCUCCUUUAUCUAACACACACCAAGCCAACAGUCUCCCUGCCUUAUGUGACCCCAGGGCCGGGUCCUGGACAGCGAGGGACCACCUGCAGCCCGGAGCCCGCUGAGAUGGCCCCAGCUACCCGACCUGCCCGCCCUUUCCUGCACAGGCACAGUAGGGCCUGUGCCCGCGCGUUGCCCUGGCUCAGUCUGCCUCCAGGCCGACCCUGGCGCUCCCUGUGCGGCCCUGGGAGACGUGCUGUGCCCCUGCUCCUAGGGGACCGACUCGUGCCAGUCAUUUCUGUGUCUGCACGUCUUCCCACCUGCGGGACAGACAGCUGACUCGCCCCUCCCGACCUUCGCCCGGAAUCCCUUUCCCUUCCCUCUCUGCCUCACACCUCCUUACUCAGCCUCUGAGACUCAACUCAGAGGCCACCUCUUCGGGGAAGCCUGCCUUAGUCACCCUCACCACCCCUCCCGGGCGCAAGGGCUGCUCACACCAAUGUCUUCUCCCCGAGUGGGCAGGUGGAGGCAAGGAGGCCUCUUGAUCCAUGCGGCCAUCUUGGCUGCAGGGCCUGGCCGUGAAUCUGGCGUCGUGGAAUAAAGGAAUGUGAGCAUGGACGGAAA